AAAUAAAUAAACAAAAAUUAAAAUAUGGGUUCUCAUUCCCUAAUGAACACCCUUCCCGUCCCCCGCCUUUUUUUUCACCGGCAGGUCUGAAGUGGGAAGGGAGACUCUACCAGGCCCAGAAGCUGUCCAGGUGAGACCACGGAAACUCUGGAACCACAGGACUGCAAGCCUGCUUGCCUGGGUGGGAGCGGAAUCUAGACACAGGCGGGAUUGAGGCUACAUUUGUGUCUUCACAUAAACCCGCCUGCAAGGCCCAGUCAGCGCUGCCAGUAAGCAGGAAGCCUCCAGCUCCCUUUCUUGGUCUGCACUGGACACGCUAGAACUAGAAACUUCUGAAAGCCCAUGAAAGGGUGUAUUUUCAACAGUGAUGGUGGAGGAUUCCAGAUUUAGCCACAUAAUGUCAACUGGUUCCUUUCCUUACCAACAAGAAGGCAUACUCAGGCAAAA